rnacentral:lncRNA from 1 species
GCCUGCAGGCUCCCAGCUCUCACAUCCCCUUCGACCCUGUGAAAUCCCAUCAACACCAACGUGCCAUCCUCGGGAGACCAACAAAUGGGAAAUAAGGUUUCCUUUUCGAGGCAGCCGUGCCGCCGAGGGACAGGCAGGGCCGGGUAGGACCUGCCAGCGGGAGCCAGGGAGAAACAAACAGCGGGAGAACGGAGCGGUGCCGCAUCCUCGGGCGCUCCCGACGGAGCAGCAGCUCUGCCAUGCAGGGAGAGCAGCCUCCCGAGGGGCUCUGCUGGCUCCUCCGAGGGAGGAUCCUCCCGUCACCAUCCAGCGGAGCUCCCACGCGGAGCUGAGCGCGUCCCGCGGGCCCUCGGCUGGUGACCUGCCCCAGCCCCUGUGCUCCUCCAUCCAACGGGGCUGGCUUGGGCACACCAGCAGCCAGCAAUUCCCCACAGGGAACCCUCACCCUGGCUGUGCUGGAUCGGCCCUGAGCACCUUCUGCACUGCAGGAGGAGCCCAGCACUGAGCUCUCCCCCACCAGCUGCAGAUGUGCCAUUCCCCAGUGCUGGCAGGUCCCCUGUGACUGUCCCAGGGGUGGCCACACAUCCUUGGCAUAAAACCGGCAUCUCUCUGAGCCACCAGGGCUGGGCUCCCCCAGGGACGUGCCAGCCUUGUGCUGGGGACCCCCAGCUCCAGCCCCUCGGCUUCACUGUCUCCCUCUCUCCGCCCUGGCAACAUCUCCUUCCCCUCACACAUAGAAGGAAUGAUAAGUAGCCAUAAUUUUGCUUCUGUAUUUGUGUCCCCAAAACUUGCAGCUAAUUCCUGUGGCUGCCAGCAUGGAGGCACUAAUACCUCUGAAAGACAAAGCAAUUAUUUCUAAACAUAGCUUGUUCCUUGCAUUGUCACCACCCAAACCACCCAACCCCUGGGCCGCUGUCAGCAUCUUCCUCUAACUAGCAGGGGGGGAAAGAAAAGAUAUUUUUUCCCAAAAAAUCACAUCCCUGCUCCUCCCCAGGUGACAGACACCAGUGCCUGACCCAGACAGAGGCACAUCCGCUGUGCUCCGUGUCUCCAGCUGGAUGGAGACACCGUGUCUGCCGCAGGACCCUCUGCAGCACCAGACCUUGUUAUCCUGUGGGUCUGCUCUCCAGACGCUAAAACGAGCCGUAAAAUGACGAGUGAAGUGAAAUGAGGGAUGU